rnacentral:rRNA from 1 species
AAACUUGAGAGUUUGAUCAUGGCUCAGAAUGAACGCUGGCGGCAUGCCUAACACAUGCAAGUCGAACGAAGGCCCGAUUUCGGUUGGGUCCUUAGUGGCGCACGGGUGCGUAACGCGUGGGAAUCUACCCUUAGGUUCGGAAUAACAGUUGGAAACGACUGCUAAUACCGGAUGAUGACGUAAGUCCAAAGAUUUAUCGCCUAGGGAUGAGCCCGCGUAGGAUUAGCUAGUUGGUGUGGUAAAGGCGCACCAAGGCGACGAUCCUUAGCUGGUCUGAGAGGAUGAUCAGCCACACUGGGACUGAGACACGGCCCAGACUCCUACGGGAGGCAGCAGUGGGGAAUAUUGGACAAUGGGCGAAAGCCUGAUCCAGCAAUGCCGCGUGAG